rnacentral:rRNA from 1 species
UACGGGGGGAGCAAGCGUUGUUCGGAUUUAUUGGGUUUAAAGGGUGCGUAGGCGGCUUUGUAAGUCAGUGGUGAAAUAUGGCAGCUCAACUGUCAAGGUGCCAUUGAUACUGCAGAGCUUGAGUACAGAUGAGGUAGGCGGAAUUGACGGUGUAGCGGUGAAAUGCUUAGAUAUCGUCAAGAACACCUAUAGCGAAGGCAGCUUACUAGGCUGUAACUGACGCUGAGGCACGAAAGUGUGGGGAUCAAACAGG